rnacentral:piRNA from 1 species
AAAUUUUUUAAAUGGAUGUGGAAAGGA